CUGUCACCUAUCUCUGGAAAACAACAACAGAGAGAAAGGGGAAUUUUUCCCCCCAUUUUAAAAAGUUCUAGCCCUCUCAUUGGCUCUUUUGGUCAGGUGCC